rnacentral:rRNA from 1 species
UACAGAGGGGGCAAGCGUUGUUCGGAAUUACUGGGCGUAAAGGGCGCGUAGGCGGCCUGCUAAGUCGAACGUGAAAUCCCCGGGCUCAACCCGGGAACUGCGUCCGUUACUGGCAGGCUUGAAUCCGGGAGAGGGAUGCGGAAUUCCAGGUGUAGCGGUGAAAUGCGUAGAUAUCUGGAGGAACACCGGUGGCGAAGGCGGCAUCCUGGACCGGCAUUGACGCUGAGGCGCGAAAGCCAGGGGAGCAAACGGG